CAAGAAAGCUCUAAACACGAGCCAGAGAUAAGGCGGCUUCCUCAGGGCGAUGAUAAGCCCAGACCUCCAAGCUUGAACUCUGAAAGGGGACGUCAGACCUGAGUGAUCCCGGAUAAAUCAGCGACCAUAAACCGAAGGGCGGGUCAAUGCGACGGCGAUCGGGUACUUCCGAGCGGCAUCGAUAUCGGACAAUGCAAAAG
rnacentral:lncRNA from 1 species